CUUCCCUCCCCUUCUGUCUGUCUCCAUCUUUUCCUACUGAUGAAGACAUUGACAAAUGGGAGUCGGGAGGGGAAGAGGCCCAGUCAGCCACCACCUCCACUGACUUGAAACCACCACACAGCACGGCCACCCAUUUGUCUUCAUCCCUUGCCUUCCCCGUCCUUAAGGAGCUGGAAUCCUGUGGGAUUGUUGCCUCAGUGUCCCCAUCUCUACAACUGGUGCAGUAAAUCCUGCCAGGUCCACCUCCCAAGGGAUGCUAGGAGCCCAGAGGCAAUACGUGGAAAGGGUUUUGUCAACUGCACAGGCUUGUGCAAGGCUAAUGGUUGGUGUCCCCAGCUUCUUCCUGUUUAGUGUGGGAAUAAAGGCCCAGCCUGCCCUCCUCUUGGGAGAAGUCAGGCCAGAAUGCAGCAUGAGCAGACAGAAAAAUGCCUUGGAGGAUAUAAAUGGCAGCAGGAAGGCAAGGCAUGGCCAUCAGGGUAAUGCUCCUCACUGCAUCAGUGUGAGGGGAGCUGGGGAAACCAAGGCCCAGAGAGUAGCCACCCAGCUGCAUUAGAGGCUGGAUCGGAGCAAUGGCCAGGCCCCCCAGUCCCACGAUGCCAGCACCACAACCAGGAUGCUCAGCCCUGGCUCUUCCGGACCUUCCAAGAGGCUCUGUUCCUCCAGUGUUUUCUCCCAAAAUGUUGGAAAGAAAUCAGCUUUCCCUUUUUUUAAGUAAGCCCUGCCCAACCCAGCCCACAGCACAGCCCACAGCUGAUGGGGAAGCCCCGCUGCAGACCGGGGGGCAUCCAGGGUGUGGCCAGGGGGCGCGAGGCACAGGCGGACUGGUCAAUGUCUCAUUUGAUGUAGGACUUUUAGUUUUAAAACUGAGACGGUUCCCAGCUAACCAGGCUGAGUUGGUCACCCUACAUGGGGUAGACACUCGGCAACACCAAAGUGCUGGGCAAAUGCAGGGGUGGGCGUUUUCACUGAAGAGAGCAAAACCCUGCUCACCCCCCCACCGUGUGAGCUUGGCCAAGGCCCCAGAAGCCCGAAGGAGAGGAAGUCCUGGUCUAGCGGCAGUUUCAGGGCCUGUGGGGCCAUGUCUGACACCGGCCACAGCACAGAUGUGCCCAAGGAAGAGGGGGAGGGGUCAUGGGUCCUUCACAGCUGAGGAAACUUGAGGUUCAGAGAAGGGAAGCGAUUGCCAAGGUCACACACUGAGUUAGGCACCCGACACUCAGACAGGGCCCGGCUUUUCCAUCCCCAGAGCCUCCCAGGUCCUGGGGGGGCCCUGGCACAGAAGAGAACUUCAGUGAAGGCUGGAGCUCGGACUCAAAGCUCUGGUCCACACCAGGCGCUUCCCCGGGACUCACAGGAACCCCCGCGCCCAGCACACACCACCCAGAGUGGGAAGGGGACUGGGCAUGUGCAAAGCCAGAGAGUGCACCCCUUCUUCCUCCCCCCACUCUGCACGCCCUGGCCAGGUCCCCCUGCCCCAUCCCCCUGAGGCCUGUGGUCUGAGGUGAACUGCAGACUUUUAAUCAGACCACCCGGGUGCAGAGCGGCAAGGCCACAGAUGAAGGACACAGGGACAGGGGAGCCCAGAGGAGGCCCCGACCCAUCUGGGGUGGAGGCUCCUGGAAAUGGUGACUCUUGAGGUAAAGCAGGGUUGGACAAGCAGAGCAAGGGCCCUACAGGCAGAGGGACUCGCAUGUGAGAGCAUGAUGCCCCUGUGACAUUAUUCCUCGCUUGGGGAAUGGCUGGAGCAUAGAGUCAUGGGGUUUGGGGUACAAGUGGACGGUGAGGUCUGGGGCUGGAGAGAUGCCAGGUGCGCAUUAGGUCUUAAAGGGCCUUGAAUAUCAGGCAAACAGACUUGAUCCUAUGAGAGGCGGAUGUCACAAUAGGAUGCUGAGCAAGGGCAGGACACAGCUCUACAGGUCUAAGAGCACUCAGCUGCAUAACAGCGGACAGACAGAGGAAGAGAACGACAUCAGGUCGGUGUGCCGCAGGUGUCCGGGGGGGCCACAGGAGGAUGGGGAAAGGACCUGGCAGGUGACAGAGGAGGAAUUGAAGGACUUGGCAUCUUUAGAGUACAGGCGGGGAGACUGAGGCCCAGGGAGGAGCAGAGACUUGCUCAGGUCACUCAGCAAGUCGGUGACAAGGAAGAAGGCAGAAGGGAAAGUGGCCCAAGGAACCUGGGCCUCAGGGCUGAGUUCUGGAAGCAGAACCCAAAAAGUCCAGCUACCCUCCAUCUGCCUGCCCAGAAUCCACCUACCAAGCCAGCGACACUCCUACCAACCCUCACCAGGCAGCAAGGAGCUCGAGGGCCAAAGGUCUCCACCCCCAGGCCAGGACUGGCCCUGAGCCCAGCUCCAGGGACAAGGAAUCUGCUCAGGGUGCUGGAUGCAGGGCAGGUGGAGCAAGGACCAAUGGGUAAAGGGGAAACGAAGGACAGAGAGGGAUGCACGUCCGCCGAGAGGAGACCGUCACUAAAUUUCGGAGGAUUCACGCGAGGGAUAGCAUCCGGCCCUUGAAACAGUGACGUGAAUCUGCUGUUAUCAACAUGGAAGCGCGUAUGAUGUCGGAAGACAACAACUGUCAUAGCACAUCCUCGUUUUUGUUAAAAAAAAAAUACUUGCAUUCAUGCACACCAGCUCACAUGUGGAGAAGAACCUGUGGGAGGUGCUGCUGACACGGGGAAAUCACCCAGGUGACAGUCACCUUCCUCUUGUCACUUUUCCAUACUGUCUGUGCUUCUUUUAUUACAAGUAUGAAAUUACUUUUAUAUAAUCAGAAGAAGUUACUGCCAUUGGAAAAAUAAAUGAAGAAAAUCAACCGAAGCGAGUGUCAGCUCAGCACUCCCCUAGCUGUGCGGCCCGGCUGAGCCCCUGUCCUCCCCGAGCCUCCAGGUCCUCACCAGGAAAAUGGAGAUGACAACUAACUCGGCGGCCACCUCCUCCCAGGACGGCUGCGACGCACAAAUGCUGUGGUUCUAAUUGGCUGAGGGGCUGGGACCCGAAACGGUCUCCAGAGUGGGAGCAUAGAGUCCUUUGUGGCACCUCAAGGCCAGUGACCAGAGGAGGAUGGUGGCCACAGGCCCAUUCCCAUGGACUCCUGGAUUGGCAGUCCUGAGAGGUUUCGGGCUGUCCGUCCUGCCAUGUUCCGAGGGGCAGGUGUGUGGAGGCCGUGGGGGACACAGGAGCCCAGGGCCCUGCCUCUCUGAGUGGGGCAGUCACCAGAGGGCGUUCCGGGCGACAGAGAGCAUCCUGGGUUCCGCACCCCCAACACGGCCAGUUUGCGGGUACCUGGGCUGGGCCCUGACAGGGACACAGAGUCAGACCAGGUGCGGGGGCGGGGACCUCACUGUCGGACCCCUCCUGAGCCACUCCAGCUUCGGGGCUCUUCCCUGGGCCUGCGACAGACCACAGCUGGUGAGAGGAGCCAGGGUGGGCAUGGCUGUCAAUUAAAACUGCUGCCUGAGGGCCCACGUCCUGCCUGAGGGCACCCAAGGGCCAGGACUGCUCAGGAGGGAGAGGGACACCCUGGGCAGGGGCUGGCAGAGAGGGACGCCUGGGUGCCUGGAAGGGAAGGCAGGCGGCAGGCACACUGUGGUUAUGGCUGGGACCUGUGAAGGCCUGUCUCCCUCUCGCUGCAGCCAGCCAGGCGUGGCCCCCUCCUGCCACUGCCCAUGGCCGCCGGGGAUCAACUUCCCUGGGCUCUUCCUCAGCGAGGUGCGGUGACAGUGGGGCGGGGCAUGGCCGGGGUCCUGCAGGAGCAGCCCCCAGCAGGGCCUCGCCUGUGGCUUCUUCUGCCAAUCGAUGCUGUUAUUUCAGUGAGCUCCCAGCAGUCUGGGCAGGCAGGGCCAGGCCACGGCAGUGGUGGCCCGAUGGCCCUGUGGGAGCCCAGAGCCCUUUCCGUGCAGGUUGACUUGCUGCAGUCCCAACCCCGCAGGAGACGGCAGACGGUGACGGUGGCGGUGGGUGGGAGGGCACUGUUCCCACUGGAGUCCCGCUGGAACGGAGGACACCCCAGCUCUGAGAAUGGGUCCCCAUUGGCACCUGGAGUGGAUCUCCGGCUGCCAGGGCCCUGGUUUCACCGUCUGAAGCCUCGGCUGCAAACGCUCCUGUUGCAGGGCAAGCACCAAGAAGCCCAGGCCUGCGGCCGGCCGCUGCCUCACGGGUGCUUUCUGGGCUUCAGGUGACCCAGCUCACAAGAGGGGCCUGGUUACGGUCCCUAAAGGACGCCCAGCUCCCCUCUCCAGAGUCAAGGGCCCGUCAGGGCCUUCUCAGAAGCUCCUGAGGCCCCCAUAGCUGACCAAUAUCUUACCGUCCAAAGUGUGACAUUUCCUGAGUCCCAUUCAUCAUUCACAUGCCACCCUCAAAUGAUGCCUCUGUGCCCGGCCUUGUGGUCCUGUGGUCCCCCACCUCAAACUGCUCACAGACUCUCCCAAGCAACCCAGAGCUCCUACGAUGGGCUGUGACAUGGGUGCACAAGGCCGUGGGCAUACAGACAUGGGAGCAGUUACAUCACACCAGGAAGAUGGGGAGGACUUCAUGGAGUGGCAACGAGCUGGGUUUUGAAGGAUGAGUAGGAAUCAGGGAAGGACAAUCCAAGCAGAGGGGAAAGUAUGUAGAGUCAGGGAAUUCCAUGGGGGUUCAGAGAAAUGAAGACCACACUUGGGAUGCUCUUGAUGACUUGGGCUCUUGGAAUUUUCCGGAGGAAGGAUGGUAAAGGGGGAAUGACACUUCCAGAGUGACUGGGGCCGACACUUCUUGAGGUCACCUGCAUCAGCAACAUGUUGCUAGGUCCUCAGUUUCCCUAAUCUGUACAGUGGGAAGAAUAAUCACCACCUCACAGGCAAUGGCCAAGGGAGGCCUUCGGAAAUUCUGGAGGGUCACGACCAUGGGAGGCUGGACAAGCGGGCCUUAGGUCGGGGCUAUGGGGUCUCCAGAGAAGAGGCCCUCUCCCAGCCACAGCCCCCAGGCCAGGGAGGCACUGCCGGACAUUGCGGCCACUCACCCGCUUCCUCCACACCCUCAGGGCCCCAGCCCCCACCCCCGCAGGGUGGACAGAGAGAGCUCGGCGAGGAGGAGCCUGAGGAAGACUCCGACCCAGCAGACGGACCUGGUCAGACAGAUCCUGUCUCCACCACUAGAGAGUCAUGACACUGGCUUAAGAGUCACUUCUCCCCUUUGAGCCUCAGUUGCAUCUGUUAUUAGUAACUCCCUUGAGGGAAUUAUUUAUUUCGGAACCCCUAGGGCCCAGCACAAAGCUGGCAAGUGGACAACGUGGAGAAGAAGGAUCUGAAAUGAGGGAAGAACAAGGACACGUCGUGGGAGCUCAGGGACUGGGAGGCUGGAGGACAAGGGUCAGGGAAGGCCACCUGGGGGGGUGGCAUCUCCACCAGGCCUUCAAAGACUGGGUGCUCUGCAUGUGCAGCGUCUGCAGGGCUGGUGUUGGCGGUGCUGUUAGAACUGGGGCCCCGGGCCUGGUUCCACAGCCCCAGAACACAGCCCCGCACCCUCCCACAGGCCCUGGCCUGGCUUCCUGGGGGCAGCGCAGGCCUGGCGUCUGACCACGAACCCUGAGGCCAGGAAAGCUUCCACUUGGCCACAUCCCUUUGGAGAGGGGACACACGCAGCCCACUCCAUCAGCCCUCGGGGCUUCUUCUCGCCCUCUCCCGGGGGGCUUCUCUCUAGCUUCACUUGCUGCAGCUACUUCCCCAAGGAGGGGAAACUGUCAAGUCAGCUGCCUGCAGACGGCUGGGGGGGACAAGCCGGCCAGCCCUGAGCCUGCUUCACCGGGGCCCCCAGCAGGCCUGGGAAAGCCAAGGGGCCCCAGAGGGGAACUCGGUCCCAGGGGGUCAGGUGAGAAGGCCCACGGGAGAGCCUUCAGCACACAGUCCCAAGGCCUGCGGGGGCCAGCCCUGGAGGCACAGCCCUGGGCCUAGAGAAGAGGGGAGCUUGGGGCCUGCUGGGCAGAGCCCUGGGGGCUGUGGGGCUUGCCCCCCUUUCCAGGAACAGCCAGGAGGAAGGGAGCGCAAGGCCAGACAGGACGACUAGCCUUGGGACAUGCCCAUGGCCCAAGGGAGGCUCUCCUCUGCCGCUCCCAGGGCCCCAGGCCACUCACUCACUGAGAACAACCAGGCCUGCUUGCCUCCUGCCUUCCCUCGGCCCCUCCCUGGGCAACUUUCUCCACUUCCAGGUCCAUCUCAGGGCUGAUGGCAUCGGGCCACCUGCACUGUGGCUGAAGCCAACCCCCGCUGCAGGAGCCUUCAGACAUCUGGCUAACAAAUGGAGGCGGGGGAAGCAGGGGUCUGGGUAGGCAGGGACCUAGAACCUCAGCGAAACUCCACCCUCCAACAACGGUCAGACCCAGCGCCAUUCACUGAUCACUCACUGUGCACCAGGCACAUCAUCUCGUUUAAUCCUCACAUCUCCACGUGGGAGACGCUGUUGUCACUCCCAAGGCCAUUCAGCCAGGGUGACUGCUCUGAUAGAAAACCAGGUGUGUCUGAUUCAGGACUCCACUGAGUUGUGAUUUCAACACAGGUCCCUAAGUCCACUCUCCCAACUCCUGUAUCUCAGCCUUAGAGAGACAGGGUAGCCGUGAGGGCUUCCUGGAGGAGGUGACACCUGAGCUGAAUCUUCUAAGAUAACAAAAAGAAGGUAGCCCGGUGAGGGAGCUGAAAGAGUAUUCCAGGCAGACAGAAUGGCAUGUGCAAAGGCCUGGAGGUCAGAAGCAGUAGGAGGGCCAGAGUGUGACAGAAGCUACAGUUUGGUGUCGCAGGCUCAUAGGAAGAGGUGGGAAGAGGCAGGAGAGGAGUAGGCAACAGGAGCUGGUUACAGAGGUCCAAAUGCAGAGGAAUCUAAGCUGACUCUAUCCUAUGGGUAUGUGGGAACCUCAGGAAGACAGAAUGGUGGGGUCGCCUGGUAGAAGGAGGAACUGAGGUUCAGAGAGGAGAACUAUCUGUCUGAUGACUCCAUCCACAAAAGGAGACCCAGCUGGGCCUGGUGUCCGGAGUGCGAGGACGGGGCCGAGGCCAAAAGCAGGUUGCAGCCCCGGCUGGGAGCUGUGGCGGAGCUCUAAUUACACGGCUGCUUCCAGCAGGCCUCAGCUCCUGCAGCUGGGCGCCGCCCAGCAAGGAACGCUCGGCCACGGGAGACCUGGCUGCGGCCGCUCUUUAUUAGAGCUGGGGCGGAGGGCUGAGGGGCUGGGGGAACAGGACAGCCCAAAGAAGCCUGAACAAGGGAGAGGAAGCUGAGCCCAGAACCGCUCCCUCAUCUACCCACAAAGAGAAGUAGAGUUCUCCCAGAGUCUGGGGGGUUGGGGGCCUGAUGUCAUCUCAAGAUGGGGAAACAGAGGCCUGGGAGGACUCGCCCAAGGUCACCAGCUAGGGCUUGAGACAGCACAGGCUCCAGAGUUGGGCACCUGCAUUCACACCCCAGCGAUUUCACUUAAAAAUCAUACACCUUUAAGCCCGUUACUUCGCCCCUCUGUGCCUUUGUAAAAUGGGGUGAAUGCGGAUGCUUCCCAGAGCUGCCCCACUGUCCAGAAUGGAAGCAGGCGACCCGUGGAGACUCGGCACAGGGCCUGGUCCUCAGCAAGUGCUCGCUGUUGCUGCUGUUACUCUGGGAGCAGAGGGGUGGCCCGUCUCCGGCCCCAGACACUAAGGAGCAACAGGAAACUGAGGCCAAGGGGCCAGCUGGCCUACGUGACCCAGGUCCACGCCACCUCCCCUGGCUGGGCCGCCCCUGGGCUUCCUUGGGCCUGGCCCUCCGGCUUCCAGCCCCUUCCUCCACUUUGAAGGCCCUUUGAGCAGGGAACUGAAGCCCCAGGAGCUUUUCCUGCCCCAUCCUGCCGGCUCUAUUCGUGUCUCCAAAGGGCCAAGUGCCACUUGCUGUGGAUGAGGAGCAGGACUUAGAAGGCCUUAGCUGGAGUUCCGGCUCCAACCCUGAGAAGCUGUGGGACUUUGGGGGACUCAUUUCACCUCUCUGAACCCCAGUUUCCUCCUCCAUGAUAUGGGGACUGUAUCACCUAUGUUCAAAUGGUAAGCCCCGAGGGAACGGGAUUUCUUUCAAGGCCUGGCUUAGCUGUCUCCUCCUCCAGGAAGCCUCCCUUGGCUUCCUCAACAUACAAGUUCCCUCCGUCAGCUCUCGAUAACCACCAGCCGCAUUCUGGCCCCACUGGGAGCUUGAACUCAUUUGCCUCACACAGACUUCACUUACAAAUUGCAAUCCCCACUUUGCAGGCCCAGAGAGGCACAGAGGUGAGCGGCUCAGCCCUUCACCGGGUGGAAGGGUUGGAGUGCUGAAGGAGGGGGUCGGAUAUAAGGCACAGAGGAGCCAAAGCCCGGGGGAGGACAGUUGGAAGAACGCAGUUUGAGCAGGUGGCCAGAAUAGGGGGGACUCCCCAGAGGGGGACGGAAGGGGUGAGGAAAGACCACUUUCAAACACCUGGCCCGACACAGCCACCCGAAGCCCCCGCCCCCUUUCUUGAGGUUUCUCUUUGUGGCUCCCAGGGGUCCCUUUCGAAAGACCUCGGAGGGGUGAAUGCUUACCCCUCCCCUUCUCCUGGCCAGCCCUGUGGGAAGACUUCCUACACGUGUAACCUGCGCCAGAGGAACAGCACCUGUCGCCACCCCCGCCCAGCCCAGGCAGAUGAGGAAACAGGCUCAGGAAAGUGGGGCCGUGGAGGACAACACUGGGUACCAACAGCCAAGCCCCCUCCCUCCACGUCCUCCAGCUCAUCUGCUUUUGUUCACUAACUCUCCGCCUAUGAUUCUGCCCGUCCAUCUCAGCCCCAAAGCAGGAGCCCAGAUGGACCAUCAGAGCCCCCCUGGACCCCUCUAGGGCCACCCAGCCACCCACCACUUCUCUUCUCCAUCUUGCCCAGAACCUCGCAUGGAGAUGAAAAGCGACAGGCCCCACAUUCAGAGUCUGGCUUUCCAGCCCCUGGAUCACCCUCCUGGGUCCUUCUGCGCCACACUCCCCACCGCAGCAGACGGUGCUCCUGAGCUAGGAGGCAGGCGGACAUCCUGACCAAGUUCUGUCACUCAGCUGUGUGACCCUGGGCAAAUCACUCAACUUCUCUGAGCCAGCAUCCUUAUCUACAAAUGGGACGACAGGAUGAACUUCUGCUCCUCACAGCCACCCUCACGAGACCGUUAUAUAGAUUCAGGGAGAUAAGGUAAAACUAGCCCAGAGAUGCAGUUUCUACUUCCCUGCCUCAUCCUUGGCACUCACGCUGUGAGGGGACCACAAAGAGCAGCUCCCAGUGAUGAGAGCCACUUUAACGCUCUACCGUGGCACAGCCAUGUUCCUAACCUCAGCAGCUCUGGGGAAUGGCCGGGCUCGCGAUUAGGCUAAGAACUCUGGAGUGAGAUGCUGGAAUUCAAGCUCCUACUUAGCAGCUGAUAGCCGUGGCACUUGACCUCUCCCAGUCUUUUUGUUUAGUCUGUAAAGAAGGACUGUUCUGAAGACUAAGGAUUUAUAUAAGAUAAGCCCUUCCCACAGGGCCUGGCACACGGCUGCCAGUCAGCACGUUACUCAUUACUCCCAAUUAUGCCACUAGACCUGGUCCUCAGAACCAGGGCAGGAAUCAUUAGCCCAGUGGUCAGGUGAGGAAACUGAGGCGGGAGGCAAGGAUGUGCCCAAGUCACAGUCGACCUGGGUUGGGUCUGAGAAAUGAACCUGGCGGCUGACUGGCAAACGCCAGAAAAAAACCCUGGAGGACUGAACAGACAAGGCCUGACCAGGUGUCCCUCUACCCCCGUCCUGAGUGGAGUUGUGGGUCUGCCCACCUGGGGCCCUCCUCCGUCAGACGCUCUGCUCCCGGGCCUAAGGGGUGGCCUGUUCCCCAAAGCGCGCCAGUGCCCGGCACACAGCGGGCGCUCAGGGACGAGGAAUGAAUGACCGAGGGAUGGAUGACCGCCGGGGUCCUGUUUUUCUGUUCCUGGAACGACACUCCUUCCACGGCCCAACUGCCCGCUAACUGCAUCCUGUCCCAGACAUCCAAAACCGCGUGCACCCCAAGAAAGAACUUCCAAAGCAGUCACCCCCGCGUGCAGAAACACCACACUUGGCAAGGGCGGCCAGCUCCCCCGCACAUGGCCGGGGGUUCACGCGCGGCCUCGGGAUCCCACGCCCCCUUCCAGGAAACAAACUCUUCCUCCUGGCCCCCUCCUUCCUGGUCUGCCCCAUGACUCAUGCCAGAGCCGGGCGGGCAGGAGAGCGCGGUUAACCAGGGUGGCACGGAGACGCCUUCACCGUGACUAGGCAGAACAGCAGCGGCCCCGCCUGCACCUACUUCCCGGGGGACGCGCGCGGGGGCGGGGCCGGGGCAGGGCCCCCGCGCCCCGGGCGCCGGAAAACUGCACACACACCCGCUCCGCCAUUGGCCGCUCCGGCCACGGGGACCUGUGGGGUGGUCCUCGCCCAGCCAAUCAGGGGCCCCGGGGAGCCCAUUCAUUCACAAACCCCAGCAGGAAAAGAAGCGCGGCGAGGCCCGGCGCUGCGUGGAACUUUGAAGCCCGCGCGCGGUGCGCGGGGCCGAGGCAGGAGUCCGGAAGGGCUCGAGCGCAGAAAGCGACGCGCGUGCGGGGACCGUCGCGUCCCCGCCCACAGCUCUGGCCCAGCGAGCCAGGCGAGGCGCGCCCUUCUCCCGGGCCGCGCCGCCCCGGGCUCCGCCUCCGGCCCAUUAGGACGCGCCGGCCGCAGCUCCAGGCGUGUCGCUGAGAGCCAUUCAGCCCCGAGGGAAGCGGCGCCCAGUUAGCUUCCUGGCUGCGGGCUCCGGCGAUGAGGUCCACGCAGGUGGCCAGGCGGCGGCGGCGGCGGCGGCCACGUGCGCGCUCAGCAUGGCGCCCCCCACCGUUCCAUCUCCCCCCGCCGGC